AAAGAUAGAGGUUGCGUGAUUCAUCAGUAUCCUGCCGGAUGCAGCAGAAACAGAGGAAGGCAGAGGAAAGGGGAAAGCGCCGAAAGAGAGCAGUUUUUUCUGCGGCUGCUUUUUUGGGCAUAGGGUGAAGAAGUCUAUGACUGUCAUCGGAAGAUGGGGAGCUAUCG
rnacentral:ncRNA from 1 species